rnacentral:tRNA from 1 species
GCGCACGUGGGAGAACUAGGCUAAACUGACUACGGAUCAGGAGGUUUCAGAUUCGAAUUCUGACGGGUGCGCCA